rnacentral:rRNA from 1 species
GACGAACGCUGGCGGCGUGCUUAACACAUGCAAGUCGAACGGAAAGGCCCUGCUUUUGUGGGGUGCUCGAGUGGCGAACGGGUGAGUAACACGUGAGUAACCUGCCCUUGACUUUGGGAUAACUUCAGGAAACUGGGGCUAAUACCGGAUAGGAGCUCCUGCUGCAUGGUGGGGGUUGGAAAGUUUCGGCGGUUGGGGAUGGACUCGCGGCUUAUCAGCUUGUUGGUGGGGUAGUGGCUUACCAAGGCUUUGACGGGUAGCCGGCCUGAGAGGGUGACCGGCCACAUUGGGACUGAGAUACGGCCCAGACUCCUGCGGGAGGCAGCAGUGAGGAAUAUUGCACAAUGGGCGGAAGCCUGAUGCAGCAACGCCGCGUGCGGGAUGACGGCCUUCGGGUUGUAAACCGCUUUCGCCUGUGACGAAGCGUGAGUGACGGUAAUGGGUAAAGAAGCACCGGCUAACUACGUG